ACUCCCAAACCCCUGUGAACAUACCACUUGUUGCCUCGGCGGAUCAGCCCGCUCCCGGUAAAACGGGACGGCCCGCCAGAGGACCCCUAAACUCUGUUUCUAUAUGUAACUUCUGAGUAAAACCAUAAAUAAAUCAAAACUUUCAACAACGGAUCUCUUGGUUCUGGCAUCGAUGAAGAACGCAGCAAAAUGCGAUAAGUAAUGUGAAUUGCAGAAUUCAGUGAAUCAUCGAAUCUUUGAACGCACAUUGCGCCCGCCAGUAUUCUGGCGGGCAUGCCUGUUCGAGCGUCAUUUCAACCCUCAAGCACAGCUUGGUGUUGGGACUCGCGUUAAUUCGCGUUCCUCAAAUUGAUUGGCGGUCACGUCGAGCUUCCAUAGCGUAGUAGUAAAACCCUCGUUACUGGUAAUCGUCGCGGCCACGCCGUUAAACCCCAACUUCUGAAUGUUGACCUCGGAUCAGGUAGGA
rnacentral:rRNA from 1 species